rnacentral:rRNA from 1 species
GGCAGCAUGGUCUUAGCUUGCUAAGGCUGAUGGCGACCGGCGCACGGGUGAGUAACACGUAUCCAACCUGCCGUCUACUCUUGGCCAGCCUUCUGAAAGGAAGAUUAAUCCAGGAUGGCAUCAUGAGUUCACAUGUCCGCAUGAUUAAAGGUAUUUUCCGGUAGACGAUGGGGAUGCGUUCCAUUAGAUAGUAGGCGGGGUAACGGCCCACCUAGUCAACGAUGGAUAGGGGUUCUGAGAGGAAGGUCCCCCACAUUGGAACUGAGACACGGUCCAAACUCCUACGGGAGGCAGCAGUGAGGAAUAUUGGUCAAUGGGCGAUGGCCUGAACCAGCCAAGUAGCGUGAAGGAUGACUGCCCUAUGGGUUGUAAACUUCUUUUAUAAAGGAAUAAAGUCGGGUAUGCAUACCCGUUUGCAUGUACUUUAUGAAUAAGGAUCGGCUAACUCCGUGCCAGCAGCCGCGGUAAUACGGAGGAUCCGAGCGUUAUCCGGAUUUAUUGGGUUUAAAGGGAGCGUAGAUGGAUGUUUAAGUCAGUUGUGAAAGUUUGCGGCUCAACCGUAAAAUUGCAGUUGAUACUGGAUGUCUUGAGUGCAGUUGAGGCAGGCGGAAUUCGUGGUGUAGCGGUGAAAUGCUUAGAUAUCACGAAGAACUCCGAUUGC